AGCAGCCGCGGUAAUUCCAGCUCCAAUAGCGUAUAUUAAAGUUGUUGCAGUUAAAAAGCUCGUAGUUGAAUUUCGGGAUUAGUAGGUUGGUCAUGCCUCUGGUAUGUACUGGUCUCACUGAUUCCUCCUUCCUGAUGAACCUUAAUGCCAUUAAUUUGGUGUUUUGGGGAAUUUGGACUGUUACUUUGAAAAAAUUAGAGUGUUUAAAGCAAGCUAACGCUUGAAUACAUUAGCAUGGAAUAAUGAAAUAGGACGUUCGAUCCUAUUUUGUUGGUUUCUAGGAUUGACGUAAUGAUUAAUAGGGAUAGUUGGGGGCAUUAGUAUUCAAUUGUCAGAGGUGAAAUUCUUGGAUUUAUUGAAGACUAACUACUGCGAAAGCAUUUGCCAAGGAUGUUUUCAUUAAUCAAGAACGAAAGUUAGGGGAUCGAAGACGAUCAGAUACCGUCGUAGUCUUAACCAUAAACUAUGCCGACUAGGGAUCGGAUGAUGUUAAUUUUUUAAUGACUCAUUCGGCGCCUUACG
rnacentral:rRNA from 1 species